rfam:Ixodes scapularis strain Wikel colony gcontig_1107729112392, whole genome shotgun sequence.
AAAACGGCUCUUUUAAGAGCCACACAUUUACGCACCUCGGAUGGC